ensembl:lncRNA
GAGGGGCUGGAAAUGCUCCGGUGUUCGGGGCUGGCGCCGGCCGUGGGGUCCCAGUGGGAUGUGCUGGUGUCCAGCAGGAGAGCCUGACCUCUUGAGGGGCGCGUGGCUGGGCAGGGGGCUCUGCAGUGCCUCAGUGAGCUGCAGACCCUCUGGCUCUCCAUGUGCAUCCUCUCCAAGGCCAGGCAUCAGCUGCCCCUCCCCUGUGGGGUUUUACCCCCCAAGCUCUUGGAGUGUGGAUUUCCCAGGGUACCAAUAGGACACAAAGCGGCUCUGGGGACACGAGUGAGGCUGACAGCCCCAUCCCAGUGUCACUGUGUCCCCAGGUCAGGCUGGAAUCCAACAUCACAGCGCUGCAGGAUGAGCUGCGGGGGCUGCGGCGCCAGAAGGCUGAACUGUCCCGCAGGAACUCAGCCCUGCAAGAGGAGCUGGCUCAGGGGGCAGAACGGGCGCUGGGGCUGCAGAGGAGGCUGGAAGAGACGGCGGAGCAGCGGAGAGCGCUGCGGGCACGAGGGGAGCGAUGCGAGGAGCGACAGCGGGAGCUCGAGGCCACGCUGAGGGAUCGUGCAGCUGAGUUGGAUGCGUUACGGAGGCGGUUGGGGCCCCGCACUGCGCGGCGCAGGUGCUCCCCUUCCCGGUACAUUGAGUGGGUGCUGUGCUGCCAUUCAGCCCUGAUCCUUUUUGGGGUGGACACGCUGGAGUUGGGGGCACCCUGGGGUGGGAGCUGCCUGUGUCCCAUCACAGCCCUUUGUCACUGUGUCCCUGCGGGGUCUCACUCUGUGCUGUCCCCUCCUUUAUUUGCAGGAAGAGCUGAAGUCCCGCAGCAUCCUCCUGUCUGGCUUCGCUUUGCCAGCACGGACACCACACUCAGAACGGCACCAGCCCUACAGCAAUGAGAACCAGGGCUGCCCAUCACUCCCAGUCCCACCAGCACUGGGACCAGCAGCAGCUCAGCCCCUCUGCACUCAGCAGAGCUGGCACAGCACCAACGAUGCUCCCCACAUCCCCUUGUGUCCCCCCCCCCAGCACCACACUGAGCAGCUGUGGGUGCUGCUUGCUUGCUGAUGGCGAGCAGUCCUUGCUCUGAGGUUACCCAGAGCCAUUCAUUAAUCAUUAAUUCACUGAUUAAACAGGAAUGGUGCUCCAUGAUGUUCAGUGCUCCCCUGUAAUCCAGUUGGGUGCUUAGAAUCCACAUCGCACAGGUCAGGUCUUGAAUAGCUCCAAAGAAGGAGACUCCACCACGUCUAUGGGCAGCCUGUUCCAAUGCUCCAUCACCCUCACCAUAAAGCUUAGGGUGGAACUGUGGGGGUUACCAGCACUGGGCUCUGUGGGUCGUGGAGCUGAGCCGAUUAUAGGGGGGGGGGUUGGUUGGGGGGUUGGGGGAAGGGAGGGAUGAGUGGCUGCCACUGAUUUCCAGUGCUUCCCCGUUCCUUUGAUCCACAAGAGAAGACAAGUUUCCAGGAAAGUUGCUGCCGAUUUUCCUGCCUCUGCCAUAGCGGUAUCCUGUGCAGAGGGCAGGGUGAGAGCCGGCAUCCGGCCCCCCUGCCCCACACCGGGG